UGGGGAAUUUUGCACAAUGGGGGAAACCCUGAUGCAGCGACGCCGCGUGAUUUAGAAGGCCUUCGGGUUGUAAAAAUCUUUUCUAUGGGAAGAAAAUGACAGUACCAUAGGAAUAAGGACCGGCUGAUUACGUGCCAGCAGCCGCGGUAAUACGUAAGGUCCGAGCGUUGUCCGGAAUCAUUGGGCGUAAAGGGUACGUAGGCGGGUAAGCAAGUUAGAAGUGAAAUCCUAUAGCUCAACUAUAGUAAGCUUUUAAAACUGCUCAUCUUGAGGUAUGGAAGGGAAAGUGGAAUUCCUAGUGUAGCGGUGAAAUGCGCAGAUAUUAGGAGGAAUACCGGUGGCGAAGGCGACUUUCUGGCCAUAACCUGACGCUGAGGUACGAAAGCGUGGGUAGCAAACAGG
rnacentral:rRNA from 1 species